UACAAUUUGCUCUGCAGCACACGCUCACCUUGGUUAAAUGGGGCUCAACUCAGCAAUAUUCAGCAGAGCUGUGGCGGUUCCUGGCUCCGGCCACCAAAGCUCCACAGGAUUUUCACUGCUCAGGUGUUGCAAAGCCUAAUCCUUAUUCAGGAACCAAAACGCUCCCCUCUCCUUGCCUGCGGUGCUUGGAUGCCUGCCUUUGGCAGUAGCCCCAGACUCCUGCAGAAGAUGAAGACAUCCCUCCAUGCCUAUAGAUGGAAAAGCGCCAACAUGGAUGCCAUCAGAAGGACGCAGCUGAGCAUAUGCUGAGAAAAUUGUGGCAUCCAUACUGUACAUGGGGAAGGGCUGACUGAACACACCAGUUUGUUGAAGCUUAUGGCCCUGAAAAGGAAACAUAGGUUUCCUGUAAAUGUCAUUCAGGGAUAUGCUAACUGUUAUUUCCUGGCACUGGAUCAUGAUGCUUUCAACACAUUCUGUUCCUCUACCUCUGCUGCUACCUCUGCUGCCUGCCUGCCUGGCUGUGCACAGUGAUAGCUCUCCUGUCUUCUCACCUUUCCUCCUCCCUGCGCCAGGCAAAGGUUAGGAGGGCCAGUGUCAGCGAGCGAGAUGAUGGACAGAGAGAUGAAAUCUCAACCCUGUACUCAGCCUGGCUGCUAUCUGUACCUGGGCCUUGCUGCACCAUCCCUCGAAUGCAAAGCAAUUCAAGGAAAAGAGCCCUAUCUCAAAUGUCAGACCACCUGGGAUCUGCAGCUGUCGGCUGAAAGCAGAGCUGCUGGGUGAAAACCCACCGAGCUCGGGCUGCAGGGCUUGUGCUGGGCACGGUGUUCAGUGCCUCCUUCCAUUUUAGGUACGUAUAUUUUAAUUGUGUACGUGUGCACACGCAGACACAUAUAUGCACACCUGGUAACUGGGAUACCUGUUUGCAAUGCCAGGUUUGGUUCCUGGAGGGAACCUGUAUUCAGACAGGUGCAGAAGCUAUAUGAAAGGGGAGAAUCAAUACAGGGAUGUUGCCCAAUUUUUGCAGUGCUAUAUCUUCUGUGCAGCUUUGCUCUCCGGGAGCAGGAAACCAUGUUUCAGAAAUACA